rnacentral:rRNA from 1 species
AGGGCAGUCUGGUGCCAGCAGCCGCGGUAAUUCCAGCUCUCAAAGUGUAUAUCGUUAUUGUUGCGGUUAAAAAGCUCGUAGUUGGAUCACUGCUGGAGGCCUCGGUUCACCGUUUCGGUGCUGUACUGAGUCACCUCAGCUAUAUCAAAUGUGCUGGUUUUCCCUUCGUUGCUUUCACCGGCUGCGUUGGGUGGCUAGCGAGUUUACCUUGAAAAAAUUAGAGUGCUUAAAGCGGGGCUUAAUGCCUGAACAGUGGUGCAUGGAAUAAUAAAAUAGGAUCUCGGUUCUAUUUUGUUGGUUUUCCGAACAGAGAUAAUGGUUAAGAGGAACAGACGGGGGCAUUCGUAUCGCUGCGCGAGAGGUGAAAUUCUUGGACCGUAGCGAGACGCUCUACUGCGAAAGCAUUUGCCAAGAAUGUUUUCAUUAAUCAAGAACGAAAGUCAGAGGUUCGAAGGCGAUCAGAUACCGCCCUAGUUCUGACCGUAAACGAUACCAACCAGCGUUCCGCCGAUGGCAAACACGCCUUGGCGGGCAGCUCUUCGGAAACGAAAGUUUUUCGGUUCCGGGGGAAGUAUGGUUGCAAAGCUGAAACUUAAAGAAAUUGACGGAAGGGCACCACCAGGAGUGGAGCCUGCGGCUUAAUUUGACUCAACACGGGAAAACUCACCUGGUCCGAACACUGUAAGGAUUGACAGACUGAUUGCUCUUUCUUGAUUCGGUGGUUGGUGGUGCAUGGCCGUUCUUAGUUGGUGGAUUGAUUUGUCUGGUUUAUUCCGAUAACGAGCGAGACUCUAGCCUAUUAAAUAGUAACCGGAUACUCACCUGUCCGAAUUACUUCUUAAAGGGACCAGCGGUGCUUAGCCGCACGAAGUUGAGCAAUAACAGGUCUGUGAUGCCCUUAGAUGUUCAGGGCUGCACGCGCGCUACACUGGAGGAAGCAGCGUGCUGUAACCAUUCUCGAAAGGGAUUGGCAACCCCUUGAAAGUCCUCCGUGAUUGGAAUCGGGAAUUGCAAUUAUUUCCCUUGAACGAGGAAUUCCUAGUAAGUGUGAGUCAUCAGCUCUCGUUGAUUACGUCCCUGCCCUUUGUACACACCGCCCGUCGCUGCCCGGGACUGAGCCGUUUCGAGAAAAGCGGGGAGCACCAGUGUCAAAGCCUCUUUGGCUGAGGUACUGGUGCAAACCGCUUUAAUCGCAGUGGCUUGAACCGGGCAAAAGUCGUAACAAGGUUUCCGUAGGUGAACCUGCGGAAGGAUCAUUACCG